GAUGAACGCUGGCGGCGUGCCUAAUACAUGCAAGUCGAGCGAACGGACGAGAAGCUUGCUCCUCUGAUGUUAGCGGCGGACGGGUGAGUAACACGUGGAUAACCUACCUAUAAGACUGGGAUAACUUCGGGAAACCGGAGCUAAUACCGGAUAAUAUUUUGAACCGCAUGGUUCAACAGUGAAAGACGGUCUUGCUGUCACUUAUAGAUGGAUCCGCGCUGCAUUAGCUAGUUGGUAAGGUAACGGCUUACCAAGGCAACGAUGCAUAGCCGACCUGAGAGGGUGAUCGGCCACACUGGAACUGAGACACGGUCCAGACUCCUACGGGAGGCAGCAGUAGGGAAUCUUCCGCAAUGGGCGAAAGCCUGACGGAGCAACGCCGCGUGAGUGAAGAAGGUCUUCGGAUCGUAAAACUCUGUUAUUAGGGAAGAACAUAUGUGUAAGUAACUGUGCACAUCUUGACGGUACCUAAUCAGAAAGCCACGGCUAACUACGUG
rnacentral:rRNA from 1 species